UGUCGUCAGCUCGUGUUGUGAAAUGUUGGGUUAAGUCCCGCAACGAGCGCAACCCUUAUCCUUUGUUGCCAGCGGUCCGGCCGGGAACUCAAAGGAGACUGCCAGUGAUAAACUGGAGGAAGGUGGGGAUGACGUCAAGUCAUCAUGGCCCUUACGACCAGGGCUACACACGUGCUACAAUGGCGCAUACAAAGAGAAGCGACCUCGCGAGAGCAAGCGGACCUCAUAAAGUGCGUCGUAGUCCGGAUUGGAGUCUGCAACUCGACUCCAUGAAGUCGGAAUCGCUAGUAAUCGUGGAUCAGAAUGCCACGGUGAAUACGUUCCCGGGCCUUGUACACACCGCCCGUCACACCAUGGGAGUGGGUUGC
rnacentral:rRNA from 1 species